rnacentral:rRNA from 1 species
UACGUAGGUGACAAGCGUUGUCCGGAUUUACUGGGCGUAAAGAGCGCGCAGGCGGUCGUUCAAGUCGAGUGUGAAAGCCCCCGGCUCAACUGGGGAGGGUCAUUCGAUACUGAUCGACUCGAAGGCAGGAGAGGGAAGUGGAAUUCCCGGUGUAGUGGUGAAAUGCGUAGAUAUCGGGAGGAACACCGGUGGUGUAGACGGCUCUCUGGACCGUAACUGACGCUGAGACACGAAAGCGUGGGUAGCAAACAGG